CUUCUCUGCUUUGGUUAACACAGAUCAAAGCUAGCUUCUCUUUUUACCUCUUUGCUCGUUUAUCUCACCAUCAUUCUUCAGCUUCGUUCUCUGUUAAAUUUUACAGUUAAGGAAUUGGAAUCAGUGGGUGUAACCGUGUUAGGUAACAAAAAGAAACUGGUGCGAGGAUGAGGACGAAGGUAGACGAACGUAGAUAGUUAAUCUUCAUCACACUUUGUCAAAAUCGUGUGGUCAAGUGUGCUAUGGUGCUACAUGAACAGGCUCGACAUUAGCAGAUUUUGAAGCUCUAACUCCAAAUCUACUAGCACGAACAAUAGAGACGGUUGAAGGGGGUGGUCUAAAACUGUCUUUGCUUAUGGUCCUGACCAGUCGCAAGGGAUUUUUGUGAAGAGUUUAAAGGAAAUAAACUUCUUAAGAGCAGAUCUCAUCUUCAGCACCCAUAGUGAAGACGCAGGGUACUGAAUACUGAUUCAGGCGUUGACACGUAUUUUGGCCUGUGCACUUAACCUGGUCAGGACUCAGGAGCUCCGGGAGCCGUAUCGAUUUUAAGGUAACACUUGAAAACUCCCCAUAUCACCGCUUAUUUGAAAAAAAGCACUAAGUUGGGUUAAUCAAAGAUAAAAAAAAGGGCCAUACCAUGACUGAUUCAGUUAUGUCUAGGUUGAUCUCUUCCCAGCAAAUCAUUCAAUAAAAAACAGGUCAUAAAUUCAUCACAGGUGUAUCCAAGGGAUAUAUAUCUAUGCAUUUGGACUCAUAGCCUGGACGGGAAAUGUGUUGAACAGAAGGGAUGAAUAUGAUAUAAUACAUUGUUGGUAAAGAAAGAAAAACAGAUAUAGUUUUUAUAUGCCAUGGAAACCGCAGGUUGAGAUUGCUAGCAGAAUCCAAAGGCUAUCGAAUUUGAUGACACUGGACUAUUCCCGGCUACUCACACUCGCAGAUCUGGUGGUAACCGGGGUGCUAGAGGAACCGAUUUCUUUGGAUUUCCUUGGUUAAAGCCACACGAGAGGAAUCUUUAAAGGACUCACCUAAGGAAAAGCCUUUGGUUGUUGAAGCUAAAGAACAAAUAAUUUUCUUUUGCUCGUUUUGAAUAGGUUCUGUAGUUUUUGUAACUACUAUAUAUCCUGGACAACUGAAUUAGAUGUUAUGAUGUUUUGUAUAUCUUUAA